CCUGUAAACAGGUUUGGAUCAUCACAAGUAACCUGUGACCAGUGACCAGUGAGUGCUGUCCGAUAUUGAACACACUGGCCAGUGAGACAAUUUCCAAAGUGCACCUUUCUUUGGGACAGAAUGUACUCUGCAGCCCUCUGUGUCUAUACGGAUCAGUGACACACUCUCAGCGGGAAGUGUGUGUAACUUCUUUAGGGUCUUGAACCCAGCUGUCAGUUAGCAUGUCUCCUGGCACCAGACUCCAGCACUUGUUGCCAGCAUCACGUGGAUAGUACCUACCCCUAACAAGGAGCUGGCGAGACCACAGUGACUGCACUGACUGACCAGAGCCUGAUCUCUACCUUGAUGCUCUUCUAUUCAGGUAUUCUCCAGUGGUUUUGUCACAGGAAGCACUGGCAGGAGGGAAGCUACAUUCCUGGAUUUCACUGUAACUAUCAUUGACCAGAAUACCACUCUCCCUGCCUAUCUAUAGCAGCCCCGUGUGAUAAUACUUUAGAUCCCAAUUCCUUAGUCCUUUCCUAUCCAACGCUGUCUGCUAGCCUUGUCCAGGUACACCACCACAGGUACCAAAUCAAGGAUACAGCCUGGCCUCUUCCUACCAAUAGGGCAGUCAGCUCUAUUACUAUGACCACAACAGUCUGGGACCCGUGAUGGCUAGAGAAAUCGGCCAGUGCCUACAGGCCUAUGACUCUAUGUCCUACACUGGGAGUCAGGGCUCUGCCCUACAACCAGAGAUAAUGAUGGUGCUAAAGGAGAUGCAGCCAAUGAAUGUUCAAACCAUUUCUCUACUUCUGCCAUCUACUAUCCCACACCUGCUCAAGCCAUGCCAGACAGCAGUCUUCAAGCAGGAAAACCAGAAAGCCUCUGAUCUGCUUCGUGGAGCUCUUCAGGUCAGAAUCCAGCACCAGGACCUGAUGGAGGGAGAAGAGGCUGGGGCCAGUGAAUGGGCCAGUGAAAGGACUAUUGACAACAUGACAAGGACUUGGAGGGCAAAGCUCAGGAUUCUGUACCCAGCAGGUCUGUGUAGCUGAGGUGCAGGGGCAAGACAAAACCAAGAGGACCAGAGAAAACACCUCCAAGAAAACAGAAGAGGUGAAGCCAUCAAGUCAAGGCAGAAAAGAAACCCACCAUCUCCAAGACUAGGAGGAAGAGAAAUCCAUUUGAGCUCAGCCAUGAUAACUUUAAAAAUCCUCGAACUCACCUUGGCGUGUACACACUGAGGCUGUGCAGAUCUCUCACCCACUGGAGAAGAGUGAGAAGAAAACUGGCAUCUCUUCCUCCUGAGCCCUGCUGAACUUCAGCAGCAACAAAGAUCCCAGUACAGGACCAGCCACCACAUCACUGCUGGAUGUGCCAUGGGAUGGCCAAGGUCCUCAUAAAACCCCAAGCAACACUCAGAGACCAGAGAGUGCUCACAAGGAGUCUCCAUCUCCAUCCCAGUAUGAGCUUCCCCUACCUAGAAAGGUCCAGUUAGCACCACUGCCUUUCCCAGACCUGGACAAGCCUCAAGCCAGACCUAUCUCUAGAAAGCUGUUCACCCUGGUUUCAUGCAGGCCAACUGAAGCUUACCCUGUGAGGCUUCAUUUCCACUCUGCUCAGCCUACCACACUCACAGCAAAGAGCUUCUGCCGGCACAUAUUUGUUGUUCUGUGACAUACUUGCUCUGACAAAUACCCACAGUGUCACAUGACUUAAUAUAAUCAACUCCAUCCAAUAUUGCACUGGGCUUCAGCCAGCUGCCUCAGGCCUGCACUGUGCAGAGCAUCAUCUCACACUUCACUCCAGAGAGAGUAUGUUUCUUUUGCCAGGAACAAGGCCUCUUUACCUCCCAAACCUCAAACCCAAUAUCUGGUGCAAGACUUCAGCUGCCAACCAAUUCCAUGGAGGAAAGUUGACAUUCCAGGGCCAGUCAUCUCACAGCCCAUCACAGAAGAGUGGAGGCCACAGAGGGAGUUCAUGAAAAGGUGGACUCAAGAGGAGAGAGGAAAUGCUGCCAAGUACAUCUCUCUGGGCAAACUGCAGCUUUUCCUUCAGAGGGAGAAGAAUAUGGAAAUCUCUAUAUAUUAUGGCUAUGCAAUGUAAGUGCUAGCCAAGCCUUUGGAACACAGUGCUAUUCAACACAGACAAGUGCCCACAAAGGCCACAAGAGGUCAACAGGUCUCUGGGGUCUGGGAUUAAGAGAGAUUGAAAGCCACCAUGAAGUGCUCUGAAUUCAACCUGGGGACUCUGCAAGAAAGGCCAGUGUUCUUAAUUACUGAGCCCCCUCAUCGAACACAUGUUGAAUCCACAUACUGCAAACAACAUAUCUUCAUUUGCUCUAUGGAUGAAAAGACUUCACUUUGUAUGUACAUCACAUUUUCUUCAACCAUGGCAAUGCUGAUGGACACCAGGCUUGGUUCCCUAAGUUCUACAGACAGUGCUGCAAUCAAGACUGACGGGCAAGUACCUCUCUAAUAUAGUGAAUUCUUUGGAAAAGUAUGCAUGAACCCUGGGGUGGGCCAGGGUUUUGGCUUCAGGACCCUGCGCUCUCACAUUACACCAGCAGUGUAUAGCAUUCAUUUCUGUUAACUUCCUCAGUGGUAUUGUCAUGUCUUUUCUCGUUGGCCUUGGAUGGCAUCUACUGGAGGUUCACUAUGAAUUACUCUGAUUCACCCUGAAUCUGAACAUUUGUAUCUGCUCAUUCCUUUUUUAUUAAAUCUGUGAGGACUAUCUUUUUAUUUGCCCUUUACUAAAUGUGUUGCCUUCUCUCUAACAAUUUAUCUAUUUUAUCUCAUUCUAAAUAAUAUAGAUAUUAAGUCUCUAACUGAGGAAUCAAUAGCAAAGAUUUUUAUCUGGUUCUCUAGGACAUCCCCUCAAAUAACAGCUUCUUUUCUGGCAAUGCACUUUUUACUUCGCUGAGGGACUAUUUGUCAACUACUGCCAGGAUUUCUUGAAUGGCUGGUGUUUUCCUCCACCCAGGCUUGUCCCUGAACCUUCAACUCUAUGUGCUACUUUCACAGUUUGUUACACUUUGGCCUUGGAGGCAUUUGUCAUUGACUUUUUAUAGGGUGACACACAGGAAAUGGAAUUCAUUUAUUUAUUAACUUACUUUUAGUUUUUUGAGACAGGAUCUCUCUCCACAGCCCUUUAUGAUCUGGAAAUAAAUAUGUUGAUCAGGCUACUCUUGUACUCACAAAGAUUUGCCUGCUUCUGCUUCUUCCUCUGCCUGUGUCCCUGCCUCAAGAAUGCUGUCACCAAAGGAAUGCUCGAACAAGCCAGGUGGAAUCAAGUUUCUUUCUGUACAUAUGCAUAUCUAGGUUUCCCAGCAUGAUGUGAUGAAGAGGCUAUGUGUAAGCCAAGGUGCAUUUUUGGUACCUACCUAGAACUAAAAGAGACUUAACUGAAUGUGUUUACAAUUGGAGCUCAACUCAGAUUCAUUUUUCUGAAAAUCUGCUGUUAAGCAGAGACCAUAGGAACUCCUUCUCCACCGCUUUAGGGGCCUAAGUUGAGAGUUGCACUGAAAAGAAGGGAGCUUAGCACUUACCAGGCAGUGACUUCUUCCUUGACUCUUUUACAGUGGUGGAAAUGGAGAAGUCCCAGGGAUGGACACCUCAGUCCAGACAUUCUAUCAGCUGCAAUCCAGAACUCUGCUACCCCUGCACACAGGAUUCCCAGAUGAGGACACCACCGGUUGAUGGGGACAGGUCAUUAACUGCCCAUCCACAGUCCCUCAGAAUUUCCUGCCUUGUCACCAGCUCCAGGUCUGGAACAAACAGAGAACAACAACUUACAUGAGAUGACAGCCAAUCUAUCACUGGCUCUUAAUGCCUCUGAGGGCACAAAAGAAAACCAAGACACACCACUCCUCCCUUUAGCAUACCCUGACAUGCAGCAGCCCCUGAACUUCACUGACACUGGUAGCCUAAGGCAGAAGCUUGCUUCUGACAGUGUCACCUUGGUAAGCAGCAGCCUUGGUCAGAAUGUGCCUGGGGAGUGUAGAGUGUGAUAGGCUCCAGCAUGGACUUUGCAGACAUUACUACACUGAUGGCAUAAAGUCACCUUUUCUAAAUCGUCAACUCCCUCACUGAACUAAGCCAAUUUCAAGAUCCCACAGCAACUCAAUCCAAAGACUCUAUAGUCAUCAGAAUCAAUCAGGCCCAGUAAAGAUAAAGUGUCAUCAGUGGGCCCUUUGACCAGGUGAGGAAUAAGGAUCAGAAAGACUCUGAUCUGCUUCAUUGAGCUCCUCAGUCCAGAAUCCAGCACCAGGAGAUGGUGAAGGAAUAAGUGGCUGGGGCCAGUGAAAUGUCUAUUGACAACAUGGCCAAGCACUUGGAGGGCAAACAGAAAGAAAUCAAUCAAUCCCAAUAUGGCUAGGGCUCUUGGGCAAGACAAGACCUUGAGAACCAGAGAAAACAACUCCAAGAAAACAGAGGAACUGAAGAAUUCUAUGAACAGAGUCAAAGCAGAGGACAAGCUCACCAACCCCAAGACCAAGAAGAAGAAGUAUCUACCUGAGCUCAGCCAUGACUGCUUUAAGCCUGAAACCCAUAUCAGCAUGUACAUACUAGGGGCUGUAAAGAGCUUUUACCCACUGCAGAAGAAUGAUGAAAAGAAAACUGGCAUCUCCUAUAUUGGUAACGCCCAUGCUACCACCACCAGUUCACCAUGUCUGAGCGAGGGGCCGUGGAUCAAAAAACAGAGACAAAAGACAGCAGGUCAUUCAUCUCAGCAGAAUGCAGAAUGCCAUUUAUUGAAGGAGAGAAAAGGCCUUAAAUACAUACAGGCUUACAGCACAGUGGGAGAACCCUGGAGGGCAGAAGUUCACUACAGAUAUUUUACAUUCAUGCAUCCUAGUUGUUAAUGCCCAUUAUGCAGGAUACACAAACAAGGAACCUCCCAUAAGCAUUCAGGAGGGAGGAAACUGGCAGGGGAUUAGCAUAGGGAGGACAUCAAGGUCAAGGUCAGCAAGCAAGGCAACAGCUACCCAAAACAGGGGGCCAGGGCCCUACAUGUCCCCCCUUUUACCAAAAAAAAUGAGCUUCUGACUUAGAUUGCAUGGGACAUCAGCAGGUCACCUUACCCAUCAUGGAGACACCUGCCCGGGCCACACAGGCUCUCUGUCUUAGGUUGGUGAGUGCCCCCCCAGACAUUACCCGUCUCAGAAUACUCAUUACCAUACAGGCUCAACCAUGUGUGAGCUGUAGAAUUAACUACUGCUAAAGAUCUCAAAGUGGUGCUGGGCUUGCAAUCUGUGCGUUUGACACAGAAAAGAUCAACAGAAGUCCUAACCCACCCACAGCCAGUAGGCUAAAGGCAAUUGAGCCAUUCCCUUCCUUAAUGAGCCUUACUGCAAAUUGGAGUCAUCAUAAGAUGGUAUCCCAAAAGCAAGUAGAACUUGAGUUUCAUAAAUUUUAUAACUUUCAAAGCCAAUUGAAAUGUAUGUAACUGCUGAAUUAAAUUUAUCAUGCCCAAUAGAAUGAAA